rnacentral:rRNA from 1 species
GCCCAGCUUGCUGGGUGGAUUAGUGGCGAACGGGUGAGUAACACGUGAGUAACCUGCCCCUGACUCUGGGAUAAGCGUUGGAAACGACGUCUAAUACUGGAUAUGAUCACUGGCCGCAUGGUCUGGUGGUGGAAAGAUUUUUUGGUUGGGGAUGGACUCGCGGCCUAUCAGCUUGUUGGUGAGGUAAUGGCUCACCAAGGCGACGACGGGUAGCCGGCCUGAGAGGGUGACCGGCCACACUGGGACUGAGACACGGCCCAGACUCCUACGGGAGGCAGCAGUGGGGAAUAUUGCACAAUGGGCGAAAGCCUGAUGCAGCAACGCCGCGUGAGGGAUGACGGCCUUCGGGUUGUAAACCUCUUUUAGUAGGGAAGAAGCGAAAGUGACGGUACCUGCAGAAAAAGCACCGGCUAACUACGUGCCAGCAGCCGCGGUAAUACGUAGGGUGCAAGCGUUGUCCGGAAUUAUUGGGCGUAAAGAGCUCGUAGGCGGUUUGUCGCGUCUGCUGUGAAAUCCCGAGGCUCAACCUCGGGCUUGCAGUGGGUACGGGCAGACUAGAGUGCGGUAGGGGAGAUUGGAAUUCCUGGUGUAGCGGUGGAAUGCGCAGAUAUCAGGAGGAACACCGAUGGCGAAGGCAGAUCUCUGGGCCGUAACUGACGCUGAGGAGCGAAAGCGUGGGGAGCGAACAGGAUUAGAUACCCUGGUAGUCCACGCCGUAAACGUUGGGCGCUAGAUGUAGGGACCUUUCCACGGUUUCUGUGUCGUAGCUAACGCAUUAAGCGCCCCGCC